CCGAGUUUACAACUCCCAAACCCAGUGUGAACGUUACCAAACUGUUGCCUCGGCGGGAUCUCUGCCCCGGGUGCGUCGCAGCCCCGGACCAAGGCGCCCGCCGGAGGACCAACCAAAACUCUUAUUGUAUACCCCCUCGCGGGUUUUUUUAUAAUCUGAGCCUUCUCGGCGCCUCUCGUAGGCGUUUCGAAAAUGAAUCA
rnacentral:misc_RNA from 1 species